GCAGGAACGUUAGGAACAGAAAAAUACAGCCUUAGAUCUAAGCCACGUUUCCACUUCCAUCCCGCGGCGCCGCCCGCUGUCUGCCUCCGUCCAGCCCCCACCGUCGCGGGCCUCCCUCUCCGGCGCGCGCCGCCUCGGUCGACGAGGAGGCGCGCCGCACCAUCUCAGAUCCCAAUGUCUGGAUAGCCGGGAGUUUGAAAAGAGGCUGCGGAAGCUCCCCAGUGAUGUGUAGGUUCUCAAGGUUCCUGUGCAUUUACCGAGAUUUGAAAGCGAGUGUAAAAAAAAUUGCAUCCUUGUGUUCUACAAAAAGUGUGCAGAGAAGAAUUACAGUGAAGUCAAGGCUGACAAAGCUGUGAACCAGGUUGGAACAUUGGAUGAACUGAAGUUGUUGUUGCCCAUGGAGCUGCAAAUGUGUUGUCAGAUUAGUUGUACUUACUGGCCAAAUGAACCAAAAGUUCAAUAUGCCAGAUACAAGGGUUUCCUAUGAUAAAAUUUCAGUAGAGUGUACCACAGUGUGUUCGGCACUUACACAACAUAUAGUGAAUCCAUUCCUGUCAAGUCUGGCAGAGGGCCUGUCAAUUUAUUGUUUUCUAGAUGCCUGACAAAGAAUAAGGUUGGUUAUUUGUUAGAAUUGAAGGCUAGCACAUUCAAAUACUGAUCAGAGAUUCAGAGUAACCAGAAAAUUACAAUUCUUGUAGUUUUGUGAGGCUAUUGAUGCUGGCAGGAACAGGUCCAGUCAGUUGGUAAUUUCUGUCGAGACGCCUGUGCAUAUUGAGUUGUAUGGAUUAUAUACUGAAUGGUCACUCAGUUAGAAGAAAGCUGGUUAUAAGCCUGCUCAGAAAAAGUAUGCACUUACAGGACUUCAAGUUUAGUUAAAAGGGUCAAUGUGGGAGGAAUGCCGCCAGUGAAAUUGUUGUUAUCAAGCAACCUGAAUGACAAGAACAAUGGGUAAUCUUGAGCAUGACAUAACAGAUUAAAAGUAAUGAAACAGUUUGCAAAUAUUAUCUAAGGUUAUCUUUGCCUUACAGAUGUAUGAGCUUCAUAUUUGAUUUGAAUAGCUGGCUUGGUAUGGUGCCUGAUAGCUGGUUGACCCCAAAAUGACUGAAUAAAGAGCAGUCCGAACAUUUUCCUUAGAAUGGAAGCGAGUGAACUGAAAGCCUGGUAGAUAUUUUAAGAAAGGUACUCACAAAUGCAGAGCGUUUGUCAAAUUGUCCAAUCCAGUAUUGGUUCCAUCAGAUACUGGAAGUGAUCCAGUCAGACGAUUUUCACCCAAGUCAAGCCAGUACAUAUUUGAAAGGUUGCCAAUUGAUGGAGGUAUACUUCCAGUAAACCUGUUGUUGUUCAAGGACCUGCAGCAAUACAAUCCAUCAACUCUUAUACCAUGAUACUAUAAGAAAUAAUACAAAGUUGAUACUCAGUUAGCAUUUCCUUUUGUUUGUUAUAUCCCCCAAAACAGAUAAAAACUAUUUUCUGUUUUACCUGGAAUGAAAUGGAAAUGGUUUCGAGCUAACAAAUAAGUCAAUGUGAAAAAAGAAGGGUUUUCAAAUUGAAAUUUCAACUAAGUCUAAACUACUGUCUUCAUUUACCGUCACAACUUUUUACCGUCACAACUUCUUAUUAACAUAAAAAAAAUGACGCAGGUAUAUGAGAUCAUUAACAAUAUUUUCCAAGUCAUUGAGAUCUUUACAGGAACCGCAGCUUUGGGAGUUGGCUGAGUUCUUUUGGUAUGUCACCAGAAAAUUGGCAGCCAACAACGCUCCUGUCAUGCACAAGAGAAAGCUUUCAAGGUUACUCAAGGAUCCAAUGUUCGGUGGAAGUGGACCGCUCAAGUUGUUGUAAGACAAGUCCCUGCAUAUGAUCAAAAUAGAUUCAUCAGCAUCAAACAAGGCAAAAGCUUGCCCAAACAGAUUCAGCACCAUUAAGCAAGAUCCAUGUUUUCAGGUCUUGUUUAUAGCACUGGAAAGCUUAGCACGAAUUUGACAAGAUAGUAGCACAUACAGGUACUGUAAUUCUGACAAUGACUGUAUGUCACCUGAAAGUGAUCCGGACAAUCCAAAACUUGACAGCCUUCUGCAAACCAUCCGAGAAAAAAGAGAGAGAGAAAAUCAUUAGUUGAAACAUAGAGGAAACAACAUGUUGAUUCCACAAAGUAUAAGAAAGGGCAAAGGGGAGAAAGAUCAUGUUGAUUUGGCUAAAAUGGUUCUUACAUUGAGGUGACACGAUUCUGGGUGCAGUACACUCCUGGCCAUUUUUCGCCGCAUGGAUCAUUACCAACCCAUUCUGAUAGCUUGGACUUGGCGUUAUCCCAGGAAGCUGCUAUGCCAUUUAGGGCAGAGGCUACAAAGCGAUGAGAGUGAAGAAACAUCAUCAUGAAACAAAAUCUAGUUUUUUACAGCAAAUUAACCAGAAACUGGAAUGAGACUGAAACACUUACUAUCUUGUGGAUCUGUAUCUGCUGAGAUUAUGAGAGCGUGGUCAAGAACAAUGAUCAGGAAGACUAACAGAUGGAUGAUCCUCCAAGAAGUUGGAGAAUGCCCCAUAGUGAUCUUGAUUUCAGGUUGCUGAGAAGCCCUUUCUUAUGCAAGGUUAGCAACUCUCCACUACUAAAAUUUUGUGCACUUGCAACUACGCGAUGUUAUGAAGGCUGAAUAGGCACAUCAGUUGUGUAUUAGUUAAUGGAAUCAGUCAAGAAUGUGACUGUCAUCUCCUCUCAAUGGAUGCCUUUUAAAAAAUCAUCCAAUUAAUGGUGAAGGCCCCAAAUUUUAUCAAGCGAGAGAGAGAGCAAUGCGAGUCAACUGUACGCUAUUGGCUGGCAGGGGAGCAUGAAGUUAUCUGCCAUGAAUUAGGAUCUGACUGAUUCAAAUUAUUAUUACCAUGUUUGAAGUAUCACUCCUUUUAAGAGAUUUAUAUGUAUUGCAUGCAUAUUAUAUUUGGUUGAAUGUUGUAGAUUUUAUUUGGUGUAUAUUUAUGGUAGGAUUGACUUUGGAAAAUUACCAAAGAUUGGGACCAUUUUGUUGUGUGCUUGUGUUGUAUGUGAGGCAUUUUCCAACGCGAUUCGACCCAAAACAUCUGACCAUGCAAGUGACAGAUGAAGAAAAUAAGGAUGGGUUCUAUCAAAGCCACCUUCUCAUGAUAUGCCAGUUGGUAGGAGUUAGGUAAAUAUAUCCCUGUAAAAGCUCAGAAGAGGACUACUUGGUCUAGGUGGCACUGUUGUAAGCAAGACUGGAACAACGGAGCUAAGGUCAGGAAAAGACACAGAAAGUCAAAAUUACCACCAAGAAUCCAGAAUUAGUUGGUGAAAUUCAUGUACAGAGUCAAAGGGCUAUCGCCCUCGUACAUGAAAGCUGAGGACAAAGUGAAGGAGAUUACUCUCAAAAUUGAUAUAGAAAGUUCCUGAAUGAUGCAAGUUACUGAGAUAUGAUCAGAUCUCAGGAGAGGAAGGUGCGUCCGGUUGCCGCUCUGGCAGCGCGGCUUGGAAAGCUGGAUGUUCCAUGUACGCUUCAUGAAGCCUGGCCAAGGAAAAUCUGACCACGAUGCGAUAUCAGUGCUUACCAUGUCGAUCCCAAAGCGCUUAAUGCCACCGUAUAUCUGGGGUUCCAGAAAGAGGUCUCCCUGUGCAUUAUCAAUGAGUAAACAAACCACAAAUCGGAAGGUUGAGUGAGCAACAAAAAACUGAAAUUCUCUGGCAAUAGUAUUACUUGCACAGUGAAAAACUGAAAAUAUGUAAUACUGUGCAUGACUGAGAUCAAGCACAAACCAGUUGGAUUUCAUCUCCAGUGGCAUAUGUAGUUGUGCAACCUUUCAACAUUUUCUCGAGAGCUGAAAUUCAGUAAAACAAUGCAGAAAUAAUGGCAAGAGUACAGAACCUGUGAAGCCCCUGUUGAGGUGAUAUUGGAUCCAGUUAACUUUCUCCUUGCCUUCAUUUUUGGGUCUUGUGGCAACAAAGGAUGUUGAGGCAAGAUCGCAAAGGAAUCCACGACGACUGUGUCGUCACCGUCGACCAGUGCCGGGACAUACUUCAUCGGGUUCAGCUUCUCAAAUUCUACCAACACAAAGCUCCGUUCCUUUACAUGCUACUCCCUCCAUUUCAUAUUGAGAUUGAUCGGCUUGUACUCGUAGUCCAGCCCCUUGAGGCUGAGGGCUAUGCGGACGCGGUACGAGCACGAGCUGCGCCAGAAGGAGUAGAGCUUCAGCCUCCUCUCCGGCGCCGCCGCUCCGGCGAUCUCACCAUGAGUCUGAGUGGAACGAAAGCAAGAAGAAGUGGCUGAUCAGCAAGAUUAACCAAACUGGGAGCUUAGCGGCCCUGCAGGCAGAGAGAGUGAAGCGGACGAGGGCGUAGCUAGCUACCUACCUGCCGAGCUUCGGGCGAGCCGGAGGAGGCCAUGGCGGCGGCGGCGCGUGGAGGUCAAUGGAUUGGAGGAGGCCGGCUGCCGGAGGGGAAGAGGGAGUGAUGCGGUGGAGGGGAUCGACAAAAACGAGGUUUCGAUCAGCGGUUGACCUGCUACCGUCUCUGCAUGCAUGCCGAGGGGAUUUUUGGACUAUUUGCCACUCUGAUGGUGUAUUCUCAAAUGCCACUUGUGUGUCAGUAUGUUUGUCUUCUCGUGUAUUACUUUUUAUCCGUAAGACACCACAUCAUUAGCUCCAAUGAUAAAUUACAAUCCGUUUGUCUUUU